UUCUCUCUAGGAUGUUUGCCAGCCGGUCGAAUUCCCCUGAGCCGAUAUCAACAUCUUAGGAUGUGUUCUGCGUAUUUAGAGCGUAUGCCUGCCCCGUGCAGGAAACCCAGCAAGUACGCGUCGCGUCCACCUUGAACUUUAAGGGUUCAAGGGUAACGACAUGCAGCGGCAUCUCUGGAGAAUCU
rfam:Acinetobacter rudis CIP 110305 genomic scaffold acVBL-supercont1.3, whole genome shotgun sequence.